rnacentral:misc_RNA from 1 species
AAGUCGUAACAAGGUUUCCGUAGGUGAACCUGCGGAAGGAUCAUUACCAAUAUUUUCAAAUUUCAACCCAUGUGCACGGUGAAUUUAUUGUCCUGGUUUUUGGGGUGUUCUUCUUAACGAGGUUCACCCCAACCAUUUUGUUAAACUACUGUUUAUAUUUUUCAUGGCAUUGUAAUCGUCUUAAUAAAUAUGACAACUUUUAACGGUGGAUCUCUUGGCUCGUGGAUCG